UGAGUAACACGUGAGCAAUCUGCCCUUGACUCUGGGAUAACUGCGGGAAACUGUAGCUAAUACCGGAUACGACACCUUGGGGCAUCCCAGGGUGUGGAAAGAAUUUCGGUCAAGGAUGAGCUCGCGGCCUAUCAGCUAGUUGGUGAGGUAAUGGCUCACCAAGGCGACGACGGGUAGCCGGCCUGAGAGGGUGACCGGCCACACUGGAACUGAGACACGGUCCAGACUCCUACGGGAGGCAGCAGUGGGGAAUAUUGCACAAUGGGCGAAAGCCUGAUGCAGCAACGCCGCGUGAGGGGUGAA
rnacentral:rRNA from 1 species